UCCCUUGUAGCUCAGUCGGUAAAGAAUCUGCCUGUAAUGCAGGAGACCCGGGUUCGACUCCUGGGUUGGGAA
rnacentral:tRNA from 1 species